rnacentral:misc_RNA from 1 species
GUGAAUCAUCAAAUUUUUGAACGCAAAUUGCGCUUCCUGGCAUCCCGGGAAGUAUGCCUGUUUGAGGGUCAGUAUUAAUAAAAAAUCGGUUUAGUUACAAAUUGUGACGUUUCCGGAGUUUGGGCUAUCUUAACAUUUUUGGUUAAGAGGCUCCCAACUCCCCUUCUCUGCCCACCUCUCCACGUACCUA